ensembl:rRNA 5_8S_rRNA 5.8S ribosomal RNA
GACUUUUAGCGGUGGAUCACUGGGCUUCUGCGUUGAUGAAGAACGCAGCUAGCUGUGAUAACUAAUGUGAAUUGCAGGACACAUUGAUCAUCCAUACUUCGAAUGCACUUGUGGCCCGAGUUCCUCCCAUGGCUAUGCCUGUCUGAGCGUCG